UACGUAGGUGGCAAGCGUUGUCCGGAUUUAUUGGGUUUAAAGGGUGCGUAGGCGGUCCUAUAAGUCAGUGCUGAAAUAUCCCGGCUUAACCGGGAGGGUGGCAUUGAUACUGCAGGACUUGAGUAAAGUUGAGGUUGGCGGAAUUGACGGUGUAGCGGUGAAAUGCUUAGAUAUCGUCAAGAACACCGAUAGUGUAGACAGCUAACUAAGCUUUAACUGACGCUGAGGCACGAAAGUGUGGGGAUCAAACAGG
rnacentral:rRNA from 1 species